AUUGAACGCUGGCGGCAUGCCUUACACAUGCAAGUCGAACGGUAACAGGUCUUCGGAUGCUGACGAGUGGCGAACGGGUGAGUAAUACAUCGGAACGUGCCUAGUAGUGGGGGAUAACUACUCGAAAGAGUGGCUAAUACCGCAUGGGAUCUACGGAUGAAAGCAGGGGAUCGCAAGACCUUGUGCUACUAGAGCGGCCGAUGGCAGAUUAGGUAGUUGGUGGGAUAAAAGCUUACCAAGCCGACGAUCUGUGGCUGGUCUGAGAGGACGAUCAGCCACACUGGGACUGAGACACGGCCCAGACUCCUACGGGAGGCAGCAGUGGGGAAUUUUGGACAAUGGGCGCAAGCCUGAUCCAGCAAUGCCGCGUGCAGGAUGAAGGCCUUCGGGUUGUAAACUGCUUUUGUACGGAACGAAAAGCCCUGGGUUAAUACCCUGGGGUCAUGACGGUACCGUAAGAAUAAGCACCGGCUAACUACGUGCCAGCAGCCGCGGUAACAC
rnacentral:rRNA from 1 species